rnacentral:lncRNA from 1 species
GGGCAGAGGGGAGGGAGGAAAGAGACAGGCAUGGGCUGCCAGGAAACUAGAGGCCGGCAGAUAGACACGGCAGGGAGAGACUGAGGCAGGAGGAGGCAGCGCAACCUUUCCCAGAGGCAGCAGCGGCCAGGGCCCUCUGAUGCCGAGCAGGGACAGUGGCAUUUCUAGACGAUGAGGGUGGGGCGGUGGCCAGCAUCUCCGCUCCCUACCCAGGGACCUUCACUCGCCGGCGGGGAAUGCUGAGUCUCGCCUGGGAUGAAGUUUCCCUUUGGAGGCUUUUCAUUCCAGCCC